rnacentral:rRNA from 1 species
AUAUUGUAGCUUGCUACGGUAUAACUUAGUGGCAGACGGGUGAGUAAUGUAUAGGAAUCUACCUAGUAGUACGGAAUAAUUGUUGGAAACGGCAACUAAUACCGUAUACGCCCUAUGGGGAAAAAUUUAUUGCUAUUAGAUGAGCCUAUAUUAGAUUAGCUUGUUGGUAGGGUAAUAGCUUACCAAGGCAAUGAUCUAUAGCUGAUCUGAGAGGAUGAUCAGCCACACUGGAACUGAGAUACGGUCCAGACUCCUACGGGAGGCAGCAGUGGGGAAUAUUGGACAAUGGGCGAAAGCCUGAUCCAGCUAUGCCGCAUGAGUGAAGAAGGCCUUUGGGUUGUAAAGCUCUUUUAGUGAGGAAGAUAAUGACGGUACUCACAGAAGAAGUCCUGGCUAACUCCGUGCCAGCAGCCGCGGUAAUACGGAGAGGGCUAGCGUUAUUCGGAAUUAUUGGGCGUAAAGGGCGCGUAGGCUGACUAAUAAGUUAAAAGUGAAAUCCCGAGGCUUAACCUUGGAAUUGCUUUUAAAACUGUUAAUCUAGAGAUUGAAAGAGGAUAGAGGAAUUCCUAGUGUAGAGGUAAAAUUCGUAAAUAUUAGGAGGAACACCAGUGGCGAAGGCGUCUAUCUGGUUCAAAUCUGACGCUGAGGCGCGAAGGCGUGGGGAGCAAACAGGAUUAGAUACCCUGGUAGUCCACGCUGUAAACGAUGAAUGUUAAAUAUGGGAAAUUUAUUUUCUGUAUUACAGCUAACGCGUUAAACAUUCCGCCUGGGGACUACGGUCGCAAGAUUAAAACUCAAAGGAAUUGACGGGG